UCCUUGGAUGGCUAGUGGUUAGGCCACGGCACUCUCACCACCAAGGCCCAGGUUCGAUUUCCGGCCAGGGAA